CCCUAACCCUUCAAAUGCUUAUUUCUCUUCCGCGACAGCCCGAUCGCAUUGGUCUUCUUUUCCUUCUUCUUCGAUUCGCAUUGGUCGGUGGGAGUUCGGUUGGGGCGAUGGCGGCGACCGCCGACGUGAAGACGAUCGCCGCGUCGAGAAAGAGGGCACUCACCGGGCGAGUGACGAUAGCGGAGGCGGGAUCUUGGUGGAGCUGAACUCGGAGGUCGCCCUUCCAGUCCAAUGGGAGCAGUGCCUCGAUUUGCUGACAACCGGGAGAACGGCGAACUGACUACCGCAGAUCCUCGCAGCACCGCUGGCGUCUUCAUUUCAAGUAACCAUUACCAUGACGACGAUGGCUAGAUUUAAAGAGAAAGUAACGAAGGAUGAAAAGAGCCCAUGAAACACGACUAGAGAAGGUAUUUUACUUGGUCACUCGUUAUAUUGUCAUAUGUAAACUAGAUAUUCAGGUGGCGACUUUGCCCAAAAUAUAAGAUAUUCACUUGCUUGUGCUUCUUUUUAAUUGUAGCAAAUUAACUUAAUUGAAAAUGAUUUUGUGUUUUUUGUU